rnacentral:lncRNA from 1 species
GGAGACUUACCUCUUGUGUCCAAAUUUUGAGUAAAAAUUUUUAAGACUUUAAAAGAAGGAAGACUUGACUUAAAUUUUGGUGUGUCAGGAACCACUUGAAAGAUGUGUUUUUUAUCAAUAAUUGUUUUUACUACAGGUGGAAGAGUAAAUUUAUCUGAACCGGAUAAAGUGCCUAGAUUCUGAGCCAGAGAAUGAACCAAAUCUUGUGCAAACUUUCCAAAGAUAGUAAAAUUACACGAACCAGCUUUAUCUUCAACAAUAGUGUUUAAUCUGUACCUAUUUUCAGCAAAUACGUUAAACAAUAUUAAUUUCAUGUGGAACAAAACUACCCAAUAUUUUUAAAGAAAAUUAAAAUAUUAUUAAGAAAGAUAAGUACCAUGGUAUGGGAGUUUGAUCAUUUGUACCAUAAUUGGAGCACCAAAAAGUAUCGUCAUAUGUUUUGAUUGUUGUUUUGCAAUUAUAGCAAGUUUUGUACUACCAGCCAAAUGAUGUAUCAAUUUCAGCAAUUUUAGCUUUACAGGUAAACUUCAUGUUCUCUCUCUCUCAAAAAAAAGAGGACCAAUUUAUAAUACUGCUAACCGAAGCUUUGCACUCUCACAGAAAUGAAGAGUGAAGGCAACAGUGGGAAGAUUUGGGUAAUUAGUAGUGUGCAAAGUAAGAUAGCUAGAAAAAUCCAAGAGAAUUUCAGUGUAAUCUAUUAAAACCAAGUCGAAGAGAAAUAAGUGAAAAUCUUUUGAAACUCUAAAGAGAUCUUUACAGAGUAAGACAGGCAGAAAAAUUCAAGAGAAUUUCAAUUUAAUCUGAAAAACAAAAUGGAAGAAAAAUGAUUAAAAAUAUUUUGAAAUAGGUGGGAAUCUGUUAAAAUUUUUUGAAACUCUAAGAGAUCUGUUAAAACCAAGCCAAAGAGUUUGAAA